CCUACGGGAGGCUGCAGUGAGGAAUAUUGGUCAAUGGGCGUGAGCCUGAACCAGCCAAGUAGCGUGAAGGAUGACUGCCCUACGGGUUGUAAACUUCUUUUAUAAAGGAAUAAAGUGAGGGACGUGUGCCUUUUUGUAUGUACUUUAUGAAUAAGGAUCGGCUAACUCCGUGCCAGCAGCCGCGGUAAUACGGAGGAUCCGAGCGUUAUCCGGAUUUAUUGGGUUUAAAGGGUGCGUAGAUGGGUUGUUAAGUCAGUUGUGAAAGUUUGCGGCUCAACCGUAAAAUUGCAGUUGAUACUGGCAGUCUUGAGUACGUUUGAGGCAGGCGGAAUGCGUGGUGUAGCGGUGAAAUGCUUAGAUAUCAUGCAGAACCCCGAUUGCGAAGGCAGCUUACUAAGC
rnacentral:rRNA from 1 species